rnacentral:rRNA from 1 species
UGGGGAAUAUUGCACAAUGGGCGCAAGCCUGAUGCAGCCAUGCCGCGUGUGUGAAGAAGGCCUUCGGGUUGUAAAGCACUUUCAGCGAGGAGGAAGGUGGUGAGCUUAAUACGCUCAUCAAUUGACGUUACUCGCAGAAGAAGCACCGGCUAACUCCGUGCCAGCAGCCGCGGUAAUACGGAGGGUGCAAGCGUUAAUCGGAAUUACUGGGCGUAAAGCGCACGCAGGCGGUUUGUUAAGUCAGAUGUGAAAAUCCCCGGGCUCAACCUGGGAACUGCAUUUGAAACUGGCAAGCUAGAGUCUCGUAGAGGGGGUAGAAUUCCAGGUGUAGCGGUGAAAUGCGUAGAGAUCUGGAGGAAUACCGGUGGCGAAGGCGGCCCCCUGGACGAAGACUGACGCCCAGGUGCGAAAGCGUGGGGAGCAAAACAGGAUUAGAUACCCUGGUAGUCCACGCUGUAAAACGAUGUCGAUUUUGGAGGUUGUGCCCUUGAGGCGUGGCUUCCGGAGCUAACGCGUUAAAUCGACCGCCUGGGGAGU